UUUAGCCUUCGGGCGAAGAUUUUAGUGGCGAACGGGUGCGUAACACGUGAGAAUCUGCCUUUAGGAAAAGGAUAACUACUAGAAAUAGUAACUAAUACUUUAUAUGCCUUAGGGUGAAAGAAGCAAUUCGCCUAAAGAGGAGCUCGCGUCUGAUUAGCUAGUUGGUAGGGUAAGAGCCUACCAAGGCGACGAUCAGUAGCUGGUUUGAGAGGAUGAUCAGCCACAUUGGAACUGAGACACGGUCCAGACUCCUACGGGAGGCAGCAGUAAGGAAUAUUCUACAAUGGGCGAAAGCCUGAUAGAGCAAUACCGCGUGAGGGACGAAUGCCUACGGGUUGUAAACCUCUUUUCUCAAGGAGGAAGAACUGACGUUACUUGAGGAAUAAGCAUCGGCUAACCCUGUGCCAGCAGCCGCGGUAAUACAGGGGAUGCAAGUUUUAUUCGGAAUUAUUGGGCGUAAAGCGUCUGCAGGUUGACAUAAAAGUCUUUUGUUAAAUAUCAGAGCUCAACUCGGAAUCUGCAAAAGAUACUAUAUGUCUUGAGUAUGGUAGAGGUAAGGGGAAUUUCCAGUGGAGCGGUGAAAUGCGUAGAUAUUGGAAAGAACACCGAUAGCGAAGGCACCUUACUGGGCCAUUACUGACACUCAGAGACGAAAGCUAGGGGAGCAAACGGGAUUAGAUACCCCGGUAGUCCUAGCCGUAAACGAUGGAUACUAGAUGUUGUAUACUUUA
rnacentral:rRNA from 1 species